GCCACUGCUGUUGGGGUUCGGCUAAGCCAUGCGAGUGGAGGGCGUCCCGCAAGGGAUGGCCCCGCAGACGGCUCAGUAACACGUCGUCAACCCACCUUAGGGUGGGGGACAACCUCGGGAAACUGAGGAUAAUCCCCCAUAGGCGGGGGAGGCUGGAAUGCGCCCCCGCUGAAAGCUCAGGCGCCCUAGGACGGGACGGCGGCCUAUCAGGUAGUUGGUGGUGUGACG
rnacentral:rRNA from 1 species